AUUUAUAUAGUUUAUAAAAACAUUACAUUUUCAAUGUAAAAAUAAAAGAACACUUUUUAUAAAUG
rnacentral:tRNA from 1 species